CAGCAAGAAAAAUGAGGGACUUUCAGGGGCAGCUGUGUUUUCUGACUCAGUCAUAAUGCCCCUAAAAAUCCUUAUUGCUCUUGCA
rnacentral:pre_miRNA from 1 species